rnacentral:rRNA from 1 species
AACGAACGCUGGCGGCACGCCUAACACAUGCAAGUCGAGCGCUACCUUCGGGUGGAGCGGCGGACGGGUUAGUAACGCGUGGGAACAUACCCUUUUCUGAGGAAUAACCAUUGGAAACGAUGACUAAUACCUCAUACGCCCUUCGGGGGAAAGAUUUAUCGGUGAAGGAUUGGCCCGCGUUAGAUUAGAUAGUUGGUGGGGUAAUGGCCUACCAAGUCUACGAUCUAUAGCUGGUUUGAGAGGAUGAUCAGCAACACUGGGACUGAGACACGGCCCAGACUCCUACGGGAGGCAGCAGUGGGGAAUCUUAGACAAUGGGCGCAAGCCUGAUCUAGCGAUGCCGCGUGUGUGACGAAGGCCUUAGGGUCGUAAAGCACUUUCGCCAGGGAUGAUAAUGACAGUACCUGGUAAAGAAACCCCGGCUAACUCCGUGCCAGCAGCCGCGGUAAUACGGAGGGGGUUAGCGUUGUUCGGAAUUACUGGGCGUAAAGCGCGCGUAGGCGGGCUGGCAAGUAUGGGGUGAAAUCCCGGGGCUCAACCCCGGAACUGCCCUGUAAACUGUCAGCCUAGAGUUCGAGAGAGGUGAGUGGAAUUCCGAGUGUAGAGGUGAAAUUCGUAGAUAUUCGGAGGAACACCAGUGGCGAAGGCGACUCACUGGCUCGAUACUGACGCUGAGGUGCGAAAGCGUGGGGAGCAAACAGG